ensembl:lncRNA
UGCCAUAUGCUUCUCAUAACGCACACACAAAAGAAUUACAAAAAGGACUACGCACUCCUCAUACUCCUCAUCUUGAUCUUGUGUUCAGCUUGUAAAGUUCACUUCAAUCUGUUUGAGCAUAGGACAAACCAAAAGCCAUGUGUCCCAUCUCCACUGAAUUGAUGUGUAAGAGGUCAGAAAGAGCAACAGCUUUUUGAAGAUUGAUUAAUAAAGAACAUGAUGAUGAGCCUAAGUUCAGUGGAAAGAGUUAGAUACCUACAGCUUCACCUGACCUGUCACAAGUCCAUGGGGCCAGAUGGCAUCUACCUGAAGGUACUGAGGGAGUGAGAAGACAUGAUUGCCAAACCAGUUUUCACUACCAAUGAUCCUGGUUAACUGGAAAGGUCCCAGAGGAUUGGAGACUUGCCAACAUUACUCAAAUCUACAAGAAGGGUUGUAAAGAGAAUCUGUGGAACUACAAACUUAACAACCUGACUUCGGUGCCAGGUUAUGCCAGGAAUGUUAUAUCAUCAUGAGUGAAAUCACACAGCUUGUGCGGGACAACCAGGGGAUUAGGCCUAGCCAGCAUAGGUUCACAAAAGGUAUGUCUUGCUUGACCAGACUCAUCUCCUUCUAUGAUCGAGUGAUCCACCGGGUGGAUGACAGAAAGUCUGUCAAUCAAGUCUACCUAGACCUCAAUAAAGCCUUUGACACUGUCUCCCACAGUAUUCUCCCAAAGAAGUUGGCAGCCUGUGUCCUGGACAAGUACACUCUUUGCUGGGUCAAGAACUGGCUGGAUGGCUGGGUCCAGAGAGUGGUGGGGUGUUGGACUAGAUGACCUUUAAAAGAUCCUUCCAAUUUAAAUGAUUCUAUGAUUCUAUGAAGCUAUAUUAGAAUGUAACUGUAAGAGACUAUUCUUUUAUAUCAUUGACUCAAAGUUUGCUGAGGAACAAGUCCAGGCAAGUCCUGGGCAAAGGCAGAGAAAUCUUUUGUCUUGAGGACACUGAUGGACAGGUCCUGGCUAAGGAUUGUGAAAUCCUCUAAGGAGCACAGAUGGACAAGGCCAGGGGCAACGAGAGAGAGAUAAGCUGCUGCUAAUGGCCGGGAAGCGGUCUUUUUGUGUGGACUUAUCUCAAGGAAAAUGGCCAUCUCAGGAGGUAUGCACAGGACUCUUGCUCAAGCACCCAGGAAUGUCACGUAGGCAGCAGAAAAUGGAGGAUAAAAGAAGGUCCAAUAACCACAACGGUGGAAGCUGAUCCUCCACCACAACCACGGCAACGGGAGAGGCUUAUCUCUCACCACGACAGACUUGAGGGGUUCUCUGCCAUCUGAUCCUUCACCACAACGUGGAGACUGAUCUCUACGCGGAGACUGAUCUCUCACCGCAAUGUGGAGGCUGAUCUCUCACCGCAACACAGAGGCUGAUCUCUCAUGAUCUCUCACCACGACACGAGCUUCCUGCCUUCAGAUCCUUCUCUGCUGACGGACUUCCCUGGGCCUGCUACCUGAGACCUGCUGCUUCCUCCCUGACCUGCACCCUCUCGUUGCCCAAGACCGGCCUCGCUGCUCCUGCCCUUCGGCCUCGGACUGUCGGAACAUUGUGUAACGGGACUGCUGCCGGAUCCUGGUGGUGACUAUCCCCGCUUUAGGCAAUUCUUGCCUCUUUCUAUCUUUUCUAUCGCUCGCCUUCCCUUCCCCAUCACCCCAAUCCUUAAUAGUGUCCGUCCUCCCCUUUCCCCAUCUCCCUUAUUAACAUUUGUAAUAAACUGGUCGGACCAACAUUUGAACCGUUGUUUCUUAAUCUCACGCCGGGCAUACCUCCUCUCCCUCCUAUAAAUUGGAGCGAGACAGUAACACAAGGCAUACCAUCACUAUUAGAGCAUUUCUUCUAUAACACCAAUAAUCAUAUUCCCCAGGCAAAUUUGAAGCUACUCCUUGUUUGAAUAAAAUUGUUAUCUAAUCUUUUGGUGUAAUUUCACAUUAAUUUACCUCAAAAGGAUCUCAAACCUUGUGAAAGCUGUAAGUUAUCCAGGUUACUCAAGGCAGCUCAGAGUUUGUCACAAUACAUGGAGAUCAGCAACUCCCUCUCCAUUUCUCCCCUUCAGGAAGUUACGGAGAGCAGUGAAAUCACCUUGUAGCCUGCUGUUUUCAGUCAAGUCUGAUAUACAAAAAAGGUGAUAAAAAGUAACUUUCCCCAAACUGAAUCUUAUAUCAACAUGCUCCCACUGUAAUAACUUCUAAUGUGUAAAGAAUAUAUAUAUGGUAUAUCAGUGCAGGCUUGUUUUGUAUUUUGGGACAGGUAGGCAAAGAACCUCUGCACAAAAUAUGUGUAGGAAAGCGUAACACGUCCCUCAUGGUUUAAGAAUUUUCUGUAACUCUGCAACAGAAGACGUUCUUAUCCUACAGUGCUUUCACCUCCAUGUCGGGGAAGAUCAUGGAGUAGAUCCUCUUGGAAGCUAUGCUAAGGCACUUGGAAGAGAGGG